UUGAACGCUGGCGGCAGGCCUAACACAUGCAAGUCGAGCGGAUGAAGGGAGCUUGCUCCUGGAUUCAGCGGCGGACGGGUGAGUAAUGCCUAGGAAUCUGCCUGGUAGUGGGGGAUAACGUCCGGAAACGGGCGCUAAUACCGCAUACGUCCUGAGGGAGAAAGUGGGGGAUCUUCGGACCUCACGCUAUCAGAUGAGCCUAGGUCGGAUUAGCUAGUUGGUGGGGUAAAGGCCUACCAAGGCGACGAUCCGUAACUGGUCUGAGAGGAUGAUCAGUCACACUGGAACUGAGACACGGUCCAGACUCCUACGGGAGGCAGCAGUGGGGAAUAUUGGACAAAGGGCGAAAGCCUGAUCCAGCCAUGCCGCGUGUGUGAAGAAGGUCUUCGGAUUGUAAAGCACUUUAAGUUGGGAGGAAGGGCAGUAAGUUAAUACCUUGCUGUUUUGACGUUACCAACAGGAUAAGCACCGGCUAACUUCGUG
rnacentral:rRNA from 1 species